GGAUUCUUCUCCAGCCCCUUCGCUGCUCCCAGAAGAAUGUGAUGAAUCGAGGGUUUCCAGACCGGCUUUGCGCCGUAAUUGCUGUAAGCCGUCGCCACAUGGAAUCCAGCCCGGCCGCCCCAUCCCCGUCCCGAAAGCCAGGCCGGAUAGGAACCCGCGCUGCCCGUCUGGCCUGUUCUGCCAGCCUCCGUUAGCAGAGGUGGGUUGGACACCAGGGUGGGGGAAGAGCAUGAGUGGAGAUGGGGAGGAAGCACCCACUAAAGUAUCCUCAGCAUCACCAACUCAGAGCCUCCAGUUCAACUCAUCACUCCAGGGGCUAAAAAUGCAGCCAAGUCUAGCGGACGGAGCAGAGGACUGGGACCCAGGAACUCCUGCUUUCUAACCCCAGCACUGCCACCUGCUGGCCAGGGAACUGAGUAAGCACUUUAGCAGGAGGCAAACUGCCAGGUCAGGGGGCGAGUCCCAGCAUCACUAAACCCAGUCGUCACCAGCAAACAUCCGAGUUUUUUAUCCUGCUUUGGUGCCCCUCCGUGCACGGCUCCCCUGGGGCCAGGAGAAAGGGGAGUUGCACCGGCCUGGGGAUUAGCAGGUGAAACAGCCCUGCUGACUGAUCUGUGCAUCUGUAACGUGUUAGCCCCGUUUAAAAAUGACUGGACGUAAGAGCAGCCCUUCACGGCUAGCAGGGAGAACAUCCGCUGGAGGAAACGUCCCUGAAGGAGCCCGUCAGCACUCAUCUUCCAAAAUACUCCACGGCCUCACCUGGACUUGGCCAGCAGCAGGGAGCAAACCAAUGACCUCCUGAGCGAACAGCACGAGUCUGUUUGUACAGCUUGUAUAAAAGAGUCAGGCUCUCAAGCCAAGAGGAGUCAUAGACUCACAUCCCAAGAAGUGGGCUGUAGUCCACGAAAGCUUAUGCUCUAAUAAAUUUGUUAGUCUCUAAA